rnacentral:rRNA from 1 species
UAGGGAAUCUUCCACAAUGGGCGAAAGCCUGAUGGAGCAACGCCGCGUGAGUGAAGAAGGGUUUCGGCUCGUAAAACUCUGUUGUUAAAGAAGAACAUAUCCGAGAGUAACUGUUCAGGUAUUGACGGUAUUUAACCAGAAAGCCACGGCUAACUACGUGCCAA